AACCGAGCGAUGAGAAAGAAGAGUACAUAUUGGCGAUGCCUUCAGAGAGCUUGUGGACGGUGCGAACAAGCGGCUAGCCAUAUGGAAUGGGCUUUCGAGCUUCCCGCCGAACCGGCGACGCAGUAGGCGAGGACGUUUCCCCGCGUUACAGGGGGCCAUGCGCUAAGCAUGGGCUGAGCGAUUGCGCUUGUCGGCGCAAUAAGUAGGGUGGCACCGCGGUCCUACCGUCCCUAUC
rfam:Geobacillus sp. CAMR12739 Contig19, whole genome shotgun sequence.